ACGGGCGGCAGCGGUGGGGAACAUCUAGCAAUGGGCGCUGGCCUCUUGCAGCACAGCCGCGGUGGUGAUGACGGCCGACGGGUCGUAAAACUCUGUCCUCAAGGGAGCUAAUGACGGUACUUGAGGGGGAGGCCCCGGCGCACUACGUGCCAGCAGGCGCGGUAAUACGUAGGGGGCUAGCGUUAUCCGGAUUUACUGGGCGUAAAGGGUGCGUAGGCGGUCUUUCAAGUCAGGAGUGAAGGGCUACGGCUCAACCGUAGUAAGCUCUUGAAACUGGGAGACUUGAGUGCAGGAGAGGAGAGUGGAAUUCCUAGUGUAGCGGUGAAAGGCGUAAGUAUUAGGAGGAACACAAGUGUGGAAGGCGGCUCUCUGGACGGAAACUGACGCUGAGGCACGAAAGGGUGGGGAGAAAACCGGGUUGGAUACCCAGGAAGUCCACGACUUAAACGUUUAGUAAUAGGUUUCGGGGG
rnacentral:rRNA from 1 species